GGUUUGAUCCUGGCUCAGAUUGAACGCUGGCGGGGAUGCUUUACAUGCAAGUCGAACGGCAGCACGGACUUCGGUCUGGCGGCGAGUGGCGAACGGGUGAGUAAUGUAUCGGAACGUGCCUAGUAGCGGGGAUAACUACGCGAAAGCGUAGCUAAUACCGCAUACGCCCUUCGGGGGAAAGCGGGGACCUCGGCCUUCGCACUAUUAGAGCGGCCGGGAUAUCGGAUUAGCUGAAGCUGGUGGGGUAACGGCUCACCAAGGCGACGAUCCGUAGCCGGUUUGAGAGGACGACCAGCCACACUGGGACCGAGACACGGUCAGACUCCUACGGGAGGCAGCAGUGGGGAAUUUUGGACAAUGGGGGAAACCCUGAUCCAGCCAUCCUUGGCGUGUGCGAUGAAGGCCUUCGGGUUGCAAAGCACUUUUGCGGAAAGAAACGGCACGGGAGGAAUACCCCCGUGCAACUGACGGUACCUGCAGAAUAAGCACCGCUAACUACGUGCCAGCAGCCGCGGCAAUACGUAGGGUGCAAGUGACUCGAAAUUACUGGGCGUAAGCGUGCGCAGGCGGUUCGGAAAGAAAGAUGUGAAAUCCCAGAGCUUAACUUUGGAACUGCAUUUUUAACUACCGAGCUAGAGGGCCAGAGGGAGGUGGAAUUCCGCGUGUAGCAGUGAAAUGCGUAGAUAUGCGGAGGAACACCGAUGGCGAAGGCAGCCUCCCGGAUAACACUGACGUUCAUGCACGAAAGCGUGGGAGCAAACAGGAUUAGAUACCCUGGUAGUCCACGCCCUAAACGAUGUCAACUAGCUGGGUUGGGGCCUUCGGGCCUUGGUAGCGCAGCUAACGCGUGAAGUUGACCGCCUGGGAGUACGGUCGCAAGAUUAAAACUCAAAGGGAAUUGACGGGGACCCGCACAAGCGGUGGAUGAUGUGGAUUAAUUCGAUGCAACGCGAAAAACCUUACCUACCCUUGACAUGUCUGGAAUCCCGAAGAGAUUUGGGAGUGCUCGCAAGAGAACCGGAACACAGGUGCUGCAUGGCUGUCGUCAGCUCGUGUCGUGAGAUGUUGGGUUAAGUCCCGCAACGAGCGCAACCCUUGUCAUUAGUUGCUACGAAAGGGCACUCUACUGAGACUGCCGGUGACAAACCGGAGGAAGGUGGGGAUGACGUCAAGUCCUCAUGGCUCUUAUGGGUAGGGCUUCACACGUCAUACAAUGGUCGGGACAGGGUCGCCAACCCGCAGGGGGAGCCAAUCCCAGAAACCCGAUCGUAGUCCGGAUCGCAGUCUGCAACUCGACUGCGUGAAGUCGUGGAAUCGCUAGUAAUCGCGGAUCAGCAUGUCGCGGUGAAUACGUUCCUGGUCUUGUACACACCGCCCGUCACACCAUGGGAGUGGGUUUUACCAGAAGUAGUUAGCCUAACCGUAAGGAGGGCGAUUACCACGGUAGGAUUCAUGACUUGGGGUGAAGUCGUAACAAGGCAA
rnacentral:rRNA from 1 species